rnacentral:rRNA from 1 species
AUUGAACGCUGGCGGCAGGCUUAACACAUGCAAGUCGAACGAGUGGCGGACGGGUGCGUAAUGCUUGGGAAUCUAGCUUAUGGAGGGGGAUAACGACGGGCAACUGUCGCUAAUACCGCGUACCAUAGGAUGAGCCCAAGUGGGAUUAGGUAGUUGGUGGGGUAAUGGCAUAACCAGCCGACGAUCUCUAGCUGGGCUGAGAGGAUGACCAGCAACACCGGUACUGAGACACGGCCCGGACGCCGACGGGAGGCAGCAGUGGGGAAUAUUGCGCAAUGGGGGCAACCUGACGCAGCCAUGCCGCGGGAAUGAAGAAGGCCUUCGGGUUGUAAAGUUCUUUCGGUGACGAGGCGUUAAUCACAGAAGAAGCACCGGCUAACUCCGUGCCAGCAGCCGCGGUAAUAC